rnacentral:rRNA from 1 species
AGCAGCCGCGGUAAUUCCAGCUCCAAUAGCGUAUAUUAAAGUUGUUGCAGUUAAAAAAGCUCGUAGUUGAAUUUCGGGAUUGACGUAAUGGUCAUGCCUUAAGGGGUAUGAACUGUUACAGUUGAUUUCUCACCUUCUGGAGAAACUUGAUGUCCUUUAUUGGGUGUCUUGCGGAUCCAGGACCUUUACCUUGAAAAAAAUUAGAGUGUUUAAAGCAGGCAUUUUUGCUCGAAUACAUUAGCAUGGAAUAAUAGAAUAGGACGGCAUGGUUCUAUUUUGUUGGUUUCUAGGAUCACCGUAAUGAUUAAUAGGGAUAGUUGGGGGCAUUAGUAUUCAAUUGUCAGAGGUGAAAUUCUUGGAUUUAUUGAAGACUAACUACUGCGAAAGCAUUUGCCAAGAAUGUUUUCAUUAAUCAAGAACGAAAGUUGGGGGACUCGAAGACGAUCAGAUACCGUCCUAGUUUCAACCAUAAACGAUGCCGACCAGGGAUCGGCGGAUGUUGUCUUUUAGGACUCCGCCG